CAGGCGGCUGAAAGAAGAGCAAAAUGAACAUCAGAAAAAAGUCGACAGGUUUUUUAAAUUAUGCGAUUUAUAUUUAAGCAUUUUUUCAUAUUACGUAAUUCAACGUCGCAUAACAAUAUAGAAAUAUAAUGUUUGUUUAACAAUGAAACAAUACGGGCCCCUAAAAGGCGCAUAAGGCAUAGCAGGUAACAUUAAAUGUGCAUGUACCGGCUGCUGUAGCAAAAUGUGCAUGUGAAAUGCAUCGACAGUUUCACAACGACGUCAUUUGCCUUCUCAUUAAACUUUUACGGCAAGUGCACGCGCCCUGUACUAAUUGCGCGUCGUUAAUUGAGCCAUGAACACAACCGGAAACCAUGAGUAUGAAUGUCUACGCCAUAUUGUUUAUUUAAACAUUGUUUAGUAAAUAAAUUUGGUGUAACGCAAAGGAAA